CUCGAAGGGAGUCCCUCAUCAAAAGUGUGAAAGACAAUUGCAACAUCUUGGUGCAGGAGUUCAUGGACUUGACUGAGGCCACUGCACAGAUUGAGAAAACCACAAUGAACAUCUGUCUCCAGAGAUGCGCCAGGCAAUGACUUUUCUGAUGUUGGCAUCAUCAUCGAGGGUAUAGUAGUUCUUCAAGAUCUGGAUAACGUGACCUUUGCAGUAGCCAUGCUGUUUGGACCUUUUUUAUUCCUUCAAUAUGAGUUACCCAUCACAACACUGCUACACUUUUGAGGUGAUUUAAAGGGUGGUUGGAUGCGACUCGGCUCUCAAGAAAAGCUCACAACUAAGACAGAACUGCUCCUGCAAGGAAAGCUCAUGUUUUUGAAUGCGAGGUGAUCAGCUCUAGGUGAGAGGACAUUUAAAUCUCACACUUGUUCUGCUGCAUUUUUGAAGCUCAAUUCCAGGAACAGAUUUUUAUAUACUCUGCAACUGCCAUGAGGACAGGGCUGUUUUUUUUGUUGUUGUUUGUUUUUCCUUUUGCUCUGUACAAGUUCUCUGUUUGUCUGUUUGGCAGCAUUUUUCAAUUUCUCUUUGUAAUUUUUCUUUCUUUUACUAGUGAAGAGAUGUAGCGUGAACAGUUAUACAGUCUAAAUAUCCCAUAUAGGUUGUGUGAAAUGGUAUUUUCAGUUGAAGUAAAGAACGUUGAAUAUUUCUAAGUGUGCUGUUUUGAACCAAGAUGUCACAGUAUGAUCAGUGCUGUAAUUUUUGACAGUCACUGUAUCAAUGUUAUUUUUGCGUCUCUUGAAUAAAGGUUUUGACCUGCAA